CUAAUACUGACGCUGAGGUACGAAAGCAUGGGGAGCAAACAGGAUUAGAUACCCUGGUAGUCCAUGCCGUAAACGAUGUCUACUAGCCGUUGGGGCCUUUGAGGCUUUAGUGGCGCAGCUAACGCGAUAAGUAGACCGCCUGGGGAGUACGGUCGCAAGACUAAAACUCAAAUGAAUUGACGGGGGCCCGCACAAGCGGUGGAGCAUGUGGUUUAAUUCGAUGCAACGCGAAGAACCUUACCUGGCCUUGACAUACUAGAAACUUUCC
rnacentral:rRNA from 1 species